GACGGGGGGGCAAGUGUUCUUCGGAAUGACUGGGCGUAAAGGGCACGUAGGCGGUGAAUCGGGUUGAAAGUGAAAGUCGCCAAAAAGUGGCGGAAUGCUCUCGAAACCAAUUCACUUGAGUGAGACAGAGGAGAGUGGAAUUUCGUGUGUAGGGGUGAAAUCCGUAGAUCGUACGGAAGGCAAACGACCGAAAGCGAAGG
rnacentral:rRNA from 1 species